rnacentral:rRNA from 1 species
CCUACGGGUGGCUGCAGUGGGGAAUAUUGGACAAUGGGCGAAAGCCUGAUCCAGCCAUGCCGCGUGUGUGAAGAAGGCCUUCGGGUUGUAAAGCACUUUCAGUGGGGAAGAAAGCCUUGGGGCUAAUACCCUCGAGGAAGGACAUCACCCACAGAAGAAGCACCGGCUAACUCCGUGCACAGCAGCCGCGGUAAUACGGAGGGUGCGAGCGUUAAUCGGAAUUACUGGGCGUAAAGCGCGCGUAGGCGGUCUGAUAAGCCGGUUGUGAAAGCCCCGGGCUCAACCUGGGAACGGCAUCCGGAACUGUCAGGCUAGAGUGCAGGAGAGGAAGGUAGAAUUCCCGGUGUAGCGGUGAAAUGCGUAGAGAUCGGGAGGAAUACCAGUGGCGAAGGCGGCCUUCUGGACUGACACUGACGCUGAGGUGCGAAAGCGUGGGUAGCAAACAGGAUUAGAUACCCGUGUAGUC